AUGUAAAUUGCAUUCCAUGUUUACUUAUAAUUUGUGUCAGAAUUAUGUGACAGAAGUGCAGUGUACAAGACACCUAAAUAUGAUAUAAAAUUAAAAACUAAAUCUGAAUAAUGAUAAAUAAAAACUGUAAAAACCAUGUAUUUGAAAUGAGAGAAGAAAUGUGUUUCUUAGGCCUUCUUUGCUUGAGCAUAAAUUGACUGGGACCCAAAAAACUUUCUCCUUGGACACAUGGUCAUUUUAUGAUGGAAAAUUGUUUUGUUAUAUAAGAAGACCAAGUGUAAUUUGUACCAAUAAAUAAAAAAUUCUACAGCUAUUACGAGCCAUAAACAAAAAAGACUCAUUAAAUACAAAAUAGCUUCAAUAAAAGGAACACUGAAGCAACUGCACUGAUCUCCACCAAGAUCUCCUUUUCCCCCUCAGAAUUCCUGCAAGACAGAUGUGGAGUGGAUGCAUUCAGACAAUCAGGAAAAUUAUUAAGAUGGUCCUUAACCAAAUCCAAGGAGAACUAUCACCUAGCUCAUUCACUAUGGACAAAAUAAUGUGUUUAUCAUAAGCCCAUUUGAGUGUAAAGAAUUGUGCAAGUUCUCCAAAGGAGGAGUCCCUUUCCAAUUCAUCCUCUAAGAGAUCAAAAGAACCUUCAGCAACCAAUGAAACAAGUAAGCAGCUAUUCAAAACAAAUGAGUCAGCCUCAAACACUGAUCAUAGGGGGCAAAAAAAAAAAUAAAAAUCAGGCAUUGUUUUUUAUGCACUUGUCCCCCUCUCCCUACCCACAGCUGCUCCAAACUCACAUGUUCAGCUGCAAAUCUGUAAUUGUACACUUUUGUUGAUAAGUCAUGUUUGUCUGGAGUUGAAAGAGUUUUGAGGAAGUUCUUUGUCAAUCAGUGUUAUUAAUGACAUAGUUGUAAAUCUCACUGUCAUAGUAUUGACUGAGUAAAUAAGUACUUUAUGACCUAAAGGAAUAUUUUCCCAGUGAGGAAACUGGUUUGAAAAAAAUUGCCUAAUCUUUUUUCCAUUAUACCUCAAAGUCAUGCAUGCAGCUGGGCACCCAUUCAAAGAUGAACUCAGACUGUCUGUAUCUCACAGGAUCAGUAAGGUGCAGAUUUUCUAGAUGUAUCACUUAGCCUGAAGUCCAACAAAUUGUUAAAAAUGGAUAUGUUUUUUGAUUGGAGUGGAAAUAAAACUUUGUAUUCUUCCUAGAAUCCCUCUCUUUAUAAUUUUUAUUUGGCACAUCUGUGCUUCCAAGUAAUUCUAGGGCUUGCUUGGAAAGAGACCAGAUUCAGCCAUUAAUUUCCCCUUUGUAAAUCAGUAUUAUCAGUAACCUGACUCAGUUUCCUUUUCGGUAGAGUCACCCUCCACAGCACUGCUGGUGUGACAAUUUGCUCAUUUAAAGGCAGCUACAAGCCAAGCUCAUGUGAAGGUGUCCCUGUCCCUGUCUAGACAGUGGCUGUGGCCCGACGGGCAGAGGCAGCAGGAGGAAUUUGCACUGGCAGCCAGGUCCAGCGUACAGCAGCUUCUCCCUGAGUCUCAGAGCCAGGCUGUUCCUCGGCACAGUCAGGUCAGGAUCCAGCAGGCGGGAGCCUUUGCUCCCCGCCCCGGUGAGAUGAUUCCCCUUUCCGCGCUGCUGCGAUGUCUCCGAGGCCUCUGCGAGCUCCCCCUGGAGCCCCGGCCGCUGCUCCGUGCCCGGUGCGGGGCCUGUCCCUCGCAACCUCCGCACGCCAAGGGCCGGGGCCGCGUGUGGAGCGGAGCCGCACUGACAACACAGAGGCACCGCCGUGCUGACACUGGCUGGGCCCUCGGAGAAGCUUUUUGGUGGAAGCCAGGUCGCUGGUUUAAAGCUGUGGAGUCUUAAACAAUUCCUGAUCUAGUCCCUGACUGAGCUGAGAGCAGCGGAGCUGUUCAAUCUGCGCUUGUCAGCACAGAGCAGAGGAAAGCUGCCUCUGGGGCGAUGCCUGCACGGAGUCCUCAGCUGAGUGGCUCUCCCCGGCUCUCCUGCAUCACUUCUUCCUCACCAACAAGCCCCACAAACUGGAAUGCUCCUGGCAUCUUCGCAUCCCUGUGCCAUCGUGGCUGCUCAAGGGAGUGAGCACCCACCUUUGCUCCUGGAGGCACCAGGCCUGCAACACGUAAUGGAGGUGUCCGGCUGUGGGAGGAGGGAUUGUGAGAAAAUAGAGAUAGUGCUGAAGGCAAUCUCGCCCCUGAGGAGUUGCAGCUGUACUAAUUACCAAAGAGUAGGAACAGACUUGCCUUUAAUAGGUCAGAGCUGUGUCCAAUACGGACAGUCCAAUAAGGAUGGGUGUUAGAAAAGAGUGGGUUAGCUGCUUGAGAAGAGCGUUGGAGUCAGUUGGCUGUGCUGCUGUGGGGAGCAAGGGUCAGGCAGUUGGGCUAGGGACAGAAAGGGUUAGGUGUUCAUGAUAGGGACAGGUAGAAGUCAGCCAGCCAUGUGGAAGAAAGAGAAAAGGAGUCAGAGUUGCGAGGAGCUAGCUGUGAGAACUCACAGAGAGAAGUACAUGUGAGAGCAUGCUUUUCCUGCCUCAGGAAGACAGCUGGACCCACAAGAUACAGUUUCUUGGAAAACUGUAAGACUGGAUUGUGAUGUUGACAUUGACAGAAGGCAAGAUCUGAAAGCAGUGUGGAACAAGAAGUCCCAGAAUUGGGGGAGCAGAGGGGCAUGACUUCAAACCAACAACUUACCAACAAGAUAAAGAAUGACAUUUUGGUUUUCAAAAAAUGUGCAGCACUUGCCAGACAAAAUCUCUGGUUUAAAAUUCUUACAGUGGAACUUUUCUCAACCAGCAGAAAAAAAAAUCAGCAUCUCCAUAGGCACAGACCUCAGGACUUGCUUCCUAGUUACUUGGGCCAUCCAUAGUUUUGAGCUAAUUAACCACAGCUUUCUUCCAGAAGAAGAAAUAAGGGGAAGUUUAUUACCUAUCAACAAUGUAGUUUCCUCCUUCUGUCUCCCACAUGUUAGGCUGGCAGAAACUUCCCAGCCUCAAAUUCCUAAAGUGUAUUGUGAGCUGGUCUGUUAUAUACUGUUUAUUAAACAAAUCCAGAUUUUUGUUUUUACCGAAACAAUUAUGAUUUUUUUAUCAAAAGAGAGACAUUGCCAGAAUUAUUGUGCUGUCUGACAACUACCUUAUCCUAAAAACCUGCCUUAAGGGCCAUGUUCACAAUUCUUCAUCUAACAGAAAUGCAGCUGAGGUCAAAACCAGGUUUUGUGGUUUAGGGGUAUAUGAUGGGUAAAGCCCUGGAGGAAAGGAGAAAAUGUUUGUAUUAAUUAUAUUGAUAAUGUGCAAAAGAAAAUAUUUUUUGUAAAAAAUAAUAAAAGCUCACAAACUCUAGCAAUUAAUCAGGACUAUUUUGGAGGUGAAGUUGUAUGCAGUUAAAGCAGUUUGUUGACAAAGUAAACAAAAGUAACCUCAGGCAUUUAUUUUUAUUUCAUAGCUCCCUAACUCAGUAAAUCUAAAAAUUACAAGGCAACAAAACUCUGGAAAGAAUAUAUUUGUAUUUCAAUGGACAAAGGCAUCAAUAUUAUUUUACUCUGACAAAUACUAUAAAAAUUCAAAUUAUACUUUCAUUGCUCAGCUCCAAAAAUCCAGUAGAUUGACUAUUGCACUGUUUAAGGUUUUCUGUGGGCAUCAUGACUUGAUUUAAACAUUUGAGAAUUAAGCUAUGAACUGUCAAAGGCAAAGCUAAAAAUAAAUGUUGCAUAUGUUUUGUCUCACAAGGGUGAGCAACUAAUAGAAGAACAAAAGGUUAUUGAGUAAAUAUAGAUUUUUGGAUGGAGGGAGUGGGUAUAAAGGUUCAAGAUAUUUUAGUGCUUUUAUGACAGACUGACACAAACAUUAAGAAAGUUUGACCUAUUGUGUAUCCAAACUGCAACAAAAAGUGAUUUAUGGCUUAUUUAAACUUGUGGUACUGAGGUGGAAGACAUUCAUCUCAUUCUAUGCAUGCUUAGAAUAAAUCAAAACUGAUUUGUGCAUAGGACAUUAAACUUGUUUUGUAUAAAAUUGAAGU